AGGUAUAUCUUCAGUCCUAGAUUCUUCAUCACAACCCAUGAAUGAGCCACCUUCCUCCCAAGGUGUCGACCCCCCAGUCAUCGAAGCAGAAGAUACUCCCAUGAGUUCGCCCGUUGUGGCAACGUCUUCUCGCUCGGACAAGGGAAAGUCCUCACGAAUGGAUGAGUCGUUGGUGGCCAGCUUGGCUGAGGGUGAGCCAUCUUCUACGAUUGUCGACGAGGAUGCUGACAGGAUUGUUCGUUCUAUCCAGGAUUUGUUCG